rnacentral:rRNA from 1 species
UACGUAGGGUGCGAGCGUUAAUCGGAUUUACUGGGCGUAAAGCGUGCGCAGGCGGCCCGUUAAGACAGGUGUGAAAUCCCUGGGCUCAACCUAGGAAUUGCGCUUGUGACUGGCGGGCUCGAGUACGGUAGAGGGGGGUGCAAUUCCUGGUGUAGCAGUGAAAUGCGUAGAGAUCAGGAGGAACACCGAUGGCGAAGGCAGCCCCCUGGGCCUGUACUGACGCUCAUGCACGAAAGCGUGGGGAGCAAACAGG